AAAUUGAGCAACAUCGGGGUGCCUAUCGCAGUAAUGCGAUACAAAAAUAAAUUGGCUAUAACGGUGAACUCCAUUAGCCAUGGACAAUACCGUGGGAAGGCUCAUAUAUUAAAUUAUAUUUGGGAACCCGUAGAGACUACACGCCAAUCUCCUAAUUUCAAAUUAGGAUGAAGAUAUAGUCCGAUCCUCUCAGUAAUGGGAGA
rnacentral:ncRNA from 1 species